GGAGGAUUGACACAGUGUCCAGACCACCACAAAAGGGGGAGGAAGACAAGCACUGAGCCCAGUGAUGAUCUUCCUCAUCUCUUGAAAGCCUGCUCUUCAACCACAUUUAACGGCAGACUGUGUGGACCCAGAUGCAGACAAUGGAGACCGUACUGAAGUAAACAAAGCAUGUCUUUAUCCUGUCUUCCUUCUCUCACCCCAACCAAUCACAGCAGAUGGCCCCGCCCCUCCCUGAGCCUGGUUCUGUCGGAGGUUUCUUCCUGUUAAAAGGGAGUUUUUUCUUCCCACUGUCGCCAAAGUGCUUACUCAUAUAGGGGGUCAUAUGAUUGUUGGGUUUUUCUCUGUCUGUAUUAUUGUC
ensembl:lncRNA